GGGCCCACUUUGCAGCACAUAUAUUAAAAUUGAAUCAAUAAGAGAAGAUUAGCAUGGCUUCUGUGCAAGGAUGAAACACAAAUUUGUGGUGGAUUCUAUAUGUUU
ensembl:snRNA U6 U6 spliceosomal RNA